CACUGCCCACAGACCUGAGGCUGCUGCUAUGUGAGAGCUGUGCCAGGCACUCCAUGGGCACCAGGAAAAGCCCAGGUGAGACCAGCAUGUGUUUCAAUGGGAAUAAAAAUGGUUCUGAGAUAAACCUUUAAAACAGAUCGAAGCGAGAGGCAUCCCGAUGGUCACCGAGCUGGCAGAAGAUUUGACCUGCAGGGAUCUUCCCCCCAGUCAUUUGCAGUGGUUGAAAUGGUUCCUUUCCAGCACAGAUCUUGGAAAGAGUGGGAAGAGAGAACACAGAAAGUUGGAAACCUCUCUGCAGCAUUUCUGUCAUGUUAUGUGGGGAGAAACAAAAAUGGGCACAGCAAGAAGGAAGAUCUGGAUGGUGUUCAUCAGCUUUGGGCAGCAUCAAACCUUUCGAUGAGCACAGGUCUUCAAAUGACGUCGAGAACAUGCCCACCACAAGCAGCUCCAUGGAGGUCCUGGUCCUGGUCCUGCCCUCUGGAACAUGGAGCCGUGGGGCCCAUUGAUGGAGGAGGUGGUCACCUGCUUCAGAACGAUCUGAGCGAUGUACUUUCUUGACCACAUCUGAUGGACACGUGGCACUCUUCAGUGUGUUGCCUUCCUUGGUUGGAAGUCAUUUUUUUUUGUUCUAAUAUUCACCAGGUCUUUGUUUUCCAUUUACAAUAUUUGAGAACCAAGAUGGUGUUUAUAAAAAUCCACUUGU